GAUGAACGCUGGCGGCGUGCCUAAUACAUGCAAGUCGAGCGAACGGACGAGAAGCUUGCUUCUCUGAUGUUAGCGGCGGACGUGUGAGUAACACGUGGAUAACCUACCUAUAAGACUGGGAUAACUUCGGGAAACCGGAGCUAAUACCUGAUUAUAUUUUGAACCGCAUGGUUCAAAAGUGAAAGACGGUCUUUCUGUCACUUAUUGAUUGAUCCGCGCUGCAUUAGCUAGUUGGUAAGGUAACGGCUUACCAAGGCAACGAUGAAUAGCCGACCUGAGAGGGUGAUCGGCCACACUGGAACUGAGACACGGUCCAGACUCCUACGGGAGGCAGCAGUAGGGAAUCUUCAGCAAUGGGCGAAAGCCUGACGGAGCAACGCCGCGUGAGUGAUGAAGGUCUUCGGAUCGUAAAACUCUGUUAUUAGGGAAGAACAUAUGUGUAAGUAACUGUGCACAUCUUGACGGUACCUAAUCAGAAAGCCACGGCUAACUACGUG
rnacentral:rRNA from 1 species